UACGUAGGUGGCAAGCGUUAUCCGGAUUUACCGGGUGUAAAGGGCGUGUAGGCGGGGACGCAAGUCAGAUGUGAAAACCACGGGCUCAACCUGUGGCCUGCAUUUGAAACUGUGUUUCUUGAGUACUGGAGAGGCAGACGGAAUCCCUAGUGUAGCGGUGAAAUGCGUAGAUAUUAGGAGGAACACCAGUGGCGAAGGCGGUCUGCUGGACAGCAACUGACGCUGAGGCGCGAAAGCGUGGGGAGCAAACAGG
rnacentral:rRNA from 1 species